AACGAACGCUGGCGGCAUGCCUAACACAUGCAAGUCGAACGAGACCUUCGGGUCUAGGUGCGAACGGGUGCGUAACGCAUGGGAACCUGCCCGUAGGGGGGGAAUGACUCCCCGAAGGGGGUGCUAAUACGGGAUAAUGGCUUCGGACCAAAGAUUUAUCAGCUUAGGAUUGGCCCGCGUUAGAUUAGCUAGUUGGUAGGGUAAAGGCCUACCAAGGCUACGAUCCAUAGCUGGUCUGGGAGGAUGAUCCGCACCCCUGGGACUGAGACACGUACCAGACUCUCACCGGAGGCAGAAGUGGGGACUAUUCGACAAUGGGCGAAAGCCUGAUCCAGCCAUGCCGUGUGACUGAUGAAGGACUUAGGGUCGUAAAGCUCUUUUAACCGCGAUGCUAAUGACAGUACCGGGCGAAUAAGCUCCGGCUAACUCCGUG
rnacentral:rRNA from 1 species